AGAGGAAGAAGGGAAAGAAGAAAAGAUCACAUAAAAAACCCCUUUCUCAUCAAAAGAAGUAUCAUAAGAAGAAAACGAAAUUCAAGUGCUUUAUGGAGAUCUUCAAGAAAUUGGAGAUCAAAGUUCCUAUGAUGGAGACAUGGAAACAGGUGCUUGGUGUUAUCAACUUUCUGAAGAGAUUCAGCAGGAAGAAGAAAAAGAAAAGAACAU
rnacentral:lncRNA from 1 species